UGGGGACUAUUGGACAAUGGGCGAAAGCCUGAUCCAGCCAUGCCGCGUGUGUGAAGAAGGUCUUCGGAUUGUAAAGCACUUUAAGUUGGGAGGAAGGGCAGUAAGCGAAUACCUUGCUGUUUUGACGUUACCGACAGAAUAAGCACCGGCUAACUCUGUGCCAGCAGCCGCGGUAAUACAGAGGGUGCAAGCGUUAAUCGGAAUUACUGGGCGUAAAGCGCGCGUAGGUGGUUCGUUAAGUUGAAUGUGAAAGCCCCGGGCUCAACCUGGGAACUGCAUCAAAAACUGGCGAGCUAGAGUAGGGCAGAGAGUGGUGGAAUUUCCUGUGUAGCGGUGAAAUGCGUAGAUAUAGGAAGGAACGCCAGUGGCGAAGGCGACCACCUGGGCUCAUACUGACACUGAGGUGCGAAAGCGUGGGGAGCAAACAGG
rnacentral:rRNA from 1 species